UCGCAAGCCGUCCAGCGUGGCCUGGGUCUGCUCUGUGGCCCGGUUCACUCCUGUUGUGCUUGCAAGAGCAAGCACGAGAUGGUUUGAGGCCUCGCUCUGCUCCAGCCAGAGUGAGGUUAUAGAAAUCUCAGCCAGGC